AUUGAACGCUGGCGGCAUGCCUUACACAUGCAAGUCGAACGGCAGCACGGGUGCUUGCACCUGGUGGCGAGUGGCGAACGGGUGAGUAAUACAUCGGAACGUACCUUAUCGUGGGGAUAACGCAGCGAAAGUUGCGCUAAUACCGCAUACGCCCUGAGGGGGAAAGCGGGGGACCGGAAGGCCUCGCGCGAUUAGAGCGGCCGAUGUCUGAUUAGCUUGUUGGUGAGGUAAAAGCUCACCAAGGCGAUGAUCAGUAGCUGGUCUGAGAGGACGAUCAGCCACACUGGGACUGAGACACGGCCCAGACUCCUACGGGAGGCAGCAGUGGGGAAUUUUGGACAAUGGGGGCAACCCUGAUCCAGCAAUGCCGCGUGAGUGAAGAAGGCCUUCGGGUUGUAAAGCUCUUUUGUCAGGGAAGAAACAGCAGCUCUAACACAGUCUGCGAAUGACGGUACCUGAAGAAUAAGCACCGGCUAACUACGUGCCAGCCGCCGUCGUAA
rnacentral:rRNA from 1 species